GUGGGGGUUGCGGUGCAGUAGCCGUCUGUGUCACCCAAAGUCACUUGGCUGCCCCCACAG
rnacentral:miRNA from 1 species